CGCAACUAAUUAAUGCUCAUCGUGCUCUUUUUCUGAUGCUCGGAUAUUGCUCUCCAAUCAUUUUAACUUGAUUUUAGAACUUAUUUAGUUCCAUUUGAUUCGCUUAAUUUUAGAAGACAAACAUAACAAAUUAAUUUGUUCUCUGUUUGAUCGUAAAAUCAUUACGACAUAAGAUAGAAUAGAUUCAUAGGACAGGACAAAAGGUCCAAAUUUUCAAAUGAAAAAAUUCUCCCUUUUAAUUUUUGCACGUCUCCCGCUUUUUAUUGUUUUCACACUCCAACCUUUCCUUAAUGUUGGAUGUCCUUUUCUCCUAUUUAUGUGACGGUGGUUCUUCAAUCCAUAAACGUGGUUUCCUCUCCAGAAUCGUGGGUUGAUCUUUUGUUCUUCAAGAACUACGUCUUUUGUCGAGGGUUCAAUUAGUGGAAAAGUUGGAAAGACGCGUUCUCAGAGUAUUCUAGAGUGAUGGAAAAUGAAGGCGGAAAUACUAGUCAACAACCAAUAGGUAACACAAGAGUUAGACGUAAUUGGACUGAACUUGAAAAGGAAAUCUUGCUCACUAUACUAGAGGAGAUGGUGGUGGCGACAGAAAAAGGAAAGAAUGAGACAUUCAAGUUUGGCACUCAUGAAGUAGUUUGUAAGAAGAUGAAAGAUAAGAUUCCUGAAAUUAUUAUAAAUUCCAAACAAGUCAUUAACAAGAUGUAAAGGUAGUCAACAUAACUUAAUGAUGUUGUUGACAUGAUGAAUACUAGAGGGUUUGGAUGGGGGAUGAUGCAAGAAAGUGUCACUUGUGACAACAAUCAAGUCUUAUUGAGUAUUUGGAGAAGCAUCCCCAAGUUGGCAAUCGUGUCAAUAGAGUUUGAAAGAUUGCAAGGUAUAUUUGACAAAGAUCAUGCAAAUGGUCGUGGGACUGAAAGUGUAGUAGAUGCAAUGAAAAAUGAAAUUGAUGAGAAUCAAGUUGAUGAUGAGGAUUGACUACAACAUUAUAAUUCACCUCCAUCUAGUGGAAAUACUUUAUCAAGGGGUGAACAUGUUUCUACUGGGCCACCUCCUAAACACCAACACAUUGCUCAAUUAACUACCAGAUUUAUUAAAAGUUUCAAUGACAAAAUAGAUGCAGUGAUGAUUGAUUUUGAAAAGAUUGCAGACAAAAUGCUAGACUAUUCACAGGUGGAUCCUUCAAAAAGAGAUUUGGUUGAAAAGGUUAACAAAUUAGGAUUACCUGAAGAAUAGAAUAUUGACUUGGCUUUAAAGUUUUCUGAAAAUCUAGAAUAUGUCACGUUUUUUGGGAGUUCCAAGGCCAACGAAGAAUGACUUAUAUGGCAAGAAAAAUAAAAUAUUUAUUUCAAUUGUCUCUCUAGUUUUAAUAUUAUUAGUACUAGAUUUUCUUGAAUAAAGUAUGUCAGGUAUGAAUAAAUUGUAUGUGUAUUCACAAUACCUAUAUUAAUGGGUGACUUCAUUUUUAGUUAAUUAUUGAAUAAUAAAUUUAUUUCUAACAUUGCAUAUUAGUUUGAGUUCUCAAUUUUGCUUCACCUUAGUGUUAGUUGUCUUGCAGUAUGUAGAGUAUUUCACAUUCUAUAGUGGACUUGUGCAAAUAAAUUAGUUCUUUAAUUUUUUUUUUAGUUUGAAAGUUGUUUCCUUCUUUUGGUUUUGUUGUAUGUGUCAUGUAGUAAGCUCAAGGACAAAGAAGAAUAUGAUAUAUAUCUAUGCUGAAUAUUUCACUUUAGUUGGAAAGUUGUUUGCUCUUUUGAUUUUGUUAUAUGUAUCAACUUUGGCCAAUGACAUUUAUGCGAGAUAUUUUUUCAUUAGUAUUUUGAGGGGCUUUGACACAACAAACAUGCUAUUGUUUUUGGAUUA